UACGGGGGGGGCAAGCGUUGUUCGGAAUUACUGGGCGUAAAGGGCUCGUAGGUGGCCAACUAAGUCAGACGUGAAAUCCCUCGGCUUAACCGGGGGACUGCGUCUGAUACUGGAUGGCUUGAGUUUGGGAGAGGGAUGCGGAAUUCCAGGUGUAGCGGUGAAAUGCGUAGAUAUCUGGAGGAACACCGGUGGCGAAGGCGGCAUCCUGGACCAACACUGACACUGAGGAGCGAAAGCGUGGGUAGCGAACGGG
rnacentral:rRNA from 1 species